GGUUCUGUAGUGUAGUGGUUAUCACUCGGGAUUUUGAAUGCAAUUUCCCGAAACCCAGGUUCGAACCCUGGCAGGACCU